rnacentral:rRNA from 1 species
UACGAAGGGUGCAAGCGUUACUCGGAAUUACUGGGCGUAAAGCGUGCGCAGGCGGUUAUGUAAGACAGGUGUGAAAUCCCCGGGCUUAACCUGGGAACUGCAUUUGUGACUGCAUAGCUAGAGUACGGUAGAGGGGGAUGGAAUUCCGCGUGUAGCAGUGAAAUGCGUAGAUAUGCGGAGGAACACCGAUGGCGAAGGCAAUCCCCUGGACCUGUACUGACGCUCAUGCACGAAAGCGUGGGGAGCAAACAGG